AGUGAACGCUGGCGGUAGGCCUAACACAUGCAAGUCGAACGGCAGCACCGUAAGUGCUUGCUCUUACGGGUGGCGAGUGGCGGACGGGAGAGGUAUGUAACGGACUCUACUUUUUCGUGGGGGAUAACGUAGGGGAACUUACUCUAAUACCGCAUACGACCUACGGGUGAAGGCAGGGGAUCGUUUGACCUUUCGCGAUUGAAUGAGCCGAUGUCGGAUUAGCUAGUGGGCGGGGUAAAGGCCAACCAAGGGGAGGAUCCGUAGCUGGACUGGGAGAAUGGUCAGCGACAUGGGAAGUGAGACACGGUCCAGACUCCUGAGGGAGGCAGCAGUGGGGAAUAUGAGGCAAUGGGCGCGAGCCUGAUCCAGCGAUACCGCGUGGGUGACGAAGGCCUUCGGGUUGUAAAGCCCUUUUGUUGGGAGAGAAAAGCAGCAGGUUAAGACCCCGCUGUACUGACGGUACCCAAAGAAUAAGCACCGGCUAACUUCGUG
rnacentral:rRNA from 1 species